CGGAAGCGAACCCGGCACGACAGCCGUAAAGCGACGCCACGGCGUGCUUUCCGGCUUCCAGAGACUUAAAUUUUCCAGCCAUACUCCCCAUCGCUUCCAGCUGCUGCACUGAGGUUUCCCACCACGUCUCCAGAAGGCUUCUGGAGAGAGUGAACGCCUGCAGCAUCCAGAGAGCCGACGGGGACUGUGACUUGGCUGCCGUCAUCCUCCAUGUUAAACGCAGAAGGAUUUGCAUCAGCCCACACAAUCAUAUGUUGAGGCGCUGGAUGAGAGCCUCACAGGUGAAGACUGGCAAAGGAAACCCCUGCCGUAAGAGCGACAGGAAGAGUCACACCCCGAGGAAGCACGGGUCACGGAGCCACAAAGCUCCGGGUUAAAACAGACACAAGACCCUACGGGGAUAACGCCACAAGUGAACCGGUCCAUAGUUGGUCAUAAAUUUGCUCCCUGAAUCUUCCUUACAGACACCCCAUGGUGUUUUGUUUUGCUAAAGGAUGGUUGCGGGUGAGAAUGUUAAGUUCAAUGGUUAUGCAGCUUUGAGGGUCAACCCUUGGCACCGAAAGCAAAGAUCAAACAAAAAUGUGCACAGGUAACCAAUGAUAUACUUAACUGAAAACAUAAAAUUCAUCUUUAUACACAAAAUUUAAAGGGAUAAUAUUGAUAGAAUUCUCCUAACUUUUAAAUUGAAGUUCUCUGGUCCUACCGAGGAGCUGAAGGAUUGGUACAAGGAUUCUGUAUACACCUGCCACCUGCAUUAGUCACUGUGAACAUUCUCUCUCUCUUCUGUGUACUUGUGUGCACUGUAUAUACAUGGAAGGGGUUCUUCACUAAACCAUCUGCAAAGCUGCAAGCCUGACCUUUGUCUAGCCCAUUUCCUGUUACUGAAGUAUUUCUGAUUAGGUAACUUCUAAAGAGUACAAGUUUAUUUGGCUCAGGUUUCUGAGGUGGGAAAGCCCGAGAACUUGACACUAGCUGGUCAGCAUCUGGGAAGACCUUUACAAUGAACUUAAUGUGACAUGUGGCAAGACAGCCCAGUGUGCUAACUGGAUCCUCCCCUUUUCUUAUACAGCCACAUCAGGGAGACUACACCCAGGCAGCCUCAUUUAACCUCAACUAAGGUUAAAUUUAAAGGCCCAUCUCCAGAUGCCAACAACAUAGAGAUUUAAGGAUCAAGUUCCAAUACAUAAAUAUCUGGAGAACACACUCAAACCAUAGCAAUACUUCAGCUCCAAGUUCUUUCUCGAAUUAUCACCCAAGAAUAAACACAUUUUCCUAAAUAAUUACA